UGGUGCUUAUGGACAAAAGACAAGCAACCCAAACAUGAAUAGUAUAUGUGGUGGCAGAGGAGAAGAUAGGGUUAUUUCUGUUACUUUGUCACCGAAAUGAAAUACUAUUUCUUGACAGUUUGAGAAGAAGAGCAGCCUAUUGUAGUAGAACCCAAGAAGCAGUGUGGCACAUUGGUUAGGCGUGUACCAGGGGCCGUUGGAUGUGAAUUUCUAUCAGCCAUGUAAAUUGCUAGAUGACUUUCGGUCUCUUUCUAUGUUUAAUCUACUUUACAGGGUUGUUGUGAGAAUGCAAUCAGAGGGGAGCCACAUUUCCUGUCUUGAGUUGUAGAGUGUUGUAGCACACAAAUAAAAGAGUUGAUGAUGCAAAUGUAUUUAAAACACGUUCAAGAAAUGCAGAGUUUUAUCCUGGUUUAUCUCGGGUCUAUUCUCAUCGGUUAUUCACAUAGCCAACAAUGCAAAUCUCAAAAAUGUCCAAGAUCGAUAAGUGGUUUUUUUGGAAAUACCACCACCACCACAAAACUUAAUCAGAUGCAUUUGAAAUGCAUGUGAACAACAAACCAGAUUCUACCUGGAUUAUUUUCUCCAUCUGAACAACCCUUUAUAGUUCUUGAGUAGACAGGCAGAAACAGAAUAAGGUAACUAAUAAUGCAAGUGUACACAUCUCUACUCGAAGGAUGCCUUCCUGGAUUCAGUGAGACUUGCUUCCAAGCAAAUAUGCAUAUAAAAAAUUGCAGCCUGGAUAUAAAGAAAAGGAAACUGGAGUUUUGCCAUGCAAAGGGGGCUUGGUGCACUCUGUUUUCAACUAGUUGCAUCAGACUCUGCUGGUCUGCUGCACCUUUAAGAGGCAGAAGACGAUGAUGCAAUUGUGGGUGUUGUUGUGGAUACACACAAAUAUAUAUAUAGUUGGGCAAGCAACAUUGGAGAUGAAAACAGGCUCACAGCGGAGCAGGGGAAGUUCACUGCAAACACCGUGUGGUUUUUUUCUUCUUCUCAGUCAGUUGCCAACAACAGAUUAGUUCCAUCAUGUCAGUUUCUUUUGUUCAAGCCGAAAAGCUCCAGCCGACUCCUUUCGAAGUGGAAUACUUUGACCAGUAUGAUUACUACAACCUUACGGACAGAUACAGUGCUCUGAGUCUUGUCAUGAUAUUAAGGUUCUGAACACAAUGGCUAUGUCGAUGUGGAUAUGGAAAUGGAUGGAUGCUGUGUAACUCAGUGGUUCUUGCAUUAAGGAGUGAGGAACAAGGUCUUUGCACUCAAAUAUGAGAGUGAAACUGAAGGCUGCAGCUCACCCCAAAACAUAUGAAGGAGAGAUUGUUGCAGGUGGCUCCUCAUGGGAUGAGGCAUUCUUAGGCUCAGGAACAGAAAAUCAGUUUCCCAGGCCUGGCAUUUUUGUUUUUAGCUGUUAAUUUCAUAUUGUAAAUUGCUGACAUACACAAAGGGCAGUAUACAAGUAUCUUUAACAUUUUGAAUGUGCUGCACAAGUAGAGGAAACUCUGUCUUAGUUGGUGUCACCAGGUGACUAGCCUGUGUAAAAAAGUCUUUGCUUUUCUACCAUUGUGGAGUUUGAAAAUAUGCAAGGAAAAUGAAAAGAACUAUUGUGGGUGUAUGGAUUCAGAAUACAGGGAUCCAAAAGUGGAGCAGGUCUAGGGAAAGCAUGCUAUGAGGCCUAUGUACAUUCAACCUCUGAAAGGUAAUGUACUUUUUCUAUGCUUAAUAAAGACAUAUUACUGUU